UACUAAACUAUACCCGU
rnacentral:sRNA from 1 species